CCUACGGGGUGCAGCAGUCGAGAAUCAUUCACAAUGGGGGAAACCCUGAUGGUGCGACGCCGCGUGGGGGAAUGAAGGUCUUCGGAUUGUAAACCCCUGUCAUGUGGGAGCAAAUUAAAAAGAUAGUACCACAAGAGGAAGAGACGGCUAACUCUGUGCCAGCAGCCGCGGUAAUACAGAGGUCUCAAGCGUUGUUCGGAAUCACUGGGCGUAAAGCGUGCGUAGGCUGUUUCGUAAGUCGUGUGUGAAAGGCGCGGGCUCAACCCGCGGACGGCACAUGAUACUGCGAGACUAGAGUAAGGGAGGGGGAACCGGAAUUCUCGGUGUAGCAGUGAAAUGCGUAGAUAUCGAGAGGAACACUCGUGGCGAAGGCGGGUUCCUGGACAUUAACUGACGCUGAGGCACGAAGGCCAGGGGAGCGAAAGGGAUUAGAUACCCUGGUAGUC
rnacentral:rRNA from 1 species